rnacentral:misc_RNA from 1 species
UUUCCGUAGGUGAACCUGCGGAAGGAUCAUUAUUGAAUCAACCUGAUGUGGUUGUAGCUGGCCCUUUCGGGAGCAUGUGCACACCCGUCGUCUUUAUCUUUCCACCUGUGCACCUUUUGUAGACCUGGAUGUAACACUUUCCGAGGCAACUCGGUCGGGAGGAAUGCUGUCAGCUUUCCUUGAAUGUCCAGGCCUAUGUUUUCAUAUACCCCAAAGAAUGUAACAGAAUGUAUUAUUGGGCCUUGUGCCUAUAAACUAUAUACAACUUUCAGCAACGGAUCUCUUGGCUCUC